rnacentral:pre_miRNA from 1 species
AUUUCUACUUUAACAAUAGUUCUGACCUUUGAGUAAAAUUUGGUAAGUUCUAUUUGUUGGGGUAGUUUUA